UACGGACGGUGAAUGCGUUGUCAGGACUCACUGGGUUUAAAGGGUGCCUAGGCAGCUAGAUAAGUCAGAGGUGAAAGUUUGUCGCUUAACGAUAGAACUGCCUUUGAUACUGUUAAGCUUGUAAGUAGGUGAGGAUGGCGGAAUGUGACAUGUAGCGGUGAAAUGCAUAGAUAUGUCAUAGAUCACAGAUUGCGAAGGUAGCCGGCUAACCUGACUUUGACGCUGAGGUACGAAAGGGUGGGUAUCGAACAGG
rnacentral:rRNA from 1 species